UGUGAUAUUACUCUUUCUCUCUCCUCACGUUACCCAUCCAGCCAUUUGGUUUACACCGUUUUCCCCUUUUAUUUCUCUCUCUCUCUCCACCUUUGUGCAGCAGUAUAGAUCAGGUUGUGAAGACCGUCUUCUGGUUUCUGCUCUUUAAGGAGAGUUGAGUGAGAGUUGUACGAGCUUCGAUGCCUACUGCCUGGUAUUCGUGGAUGGCUCCCAAGGUCUACUACAAUUCUGAGCGUAAGGAACUGAAACCGGAGCGCUCCAGAAAGGGAUGGCGCCCGCACCGGAGAGUUAGCUGACCUCUGUGACCGAUGCCACAUUAAUCCUGAACAACUGGGACGUACAACUUUAUUUCCUUCCCCAGAAAGGUCUUCAGUAGGUAAUGUAUUCAAUUUUUCUCUUUUUUAACUUAAUAAAUUAUAUUGUUAAUUUUGGCAUACAUACUACAAGAAAAAGCAUUUUAUAAGUUGCCAUCAAAACAAAUUCUAGAUUUAUGUAUAUAUUUGUAUCGAGUUUUUGGCUGUUUUAUUUGGCUUGUUGUUGUGUGGCGUUACUUUGUUGUUUUUUUUUUUUUUCGCUUUCCUCCCUCUUUGCUUGAACUGUUAAAAGUGAUUUUGGUUUUGGUGAUCUGUUUGAAUUUGAAUUUCGGUGAGGUUCAAGGCUUCACUUGUA